UACGGGGGGGGUAAGCGUUGUUCGGAAUUAUUGGGCGUAAAGAGCUCGUAGGCGGUCUGUUGCGUCGGCUGUGAAAACCCGGGGCUCAACUCCGGGCCUGCAGCCGAUACGGGCAGACUAGAGUUCGGCAGGGGAGACUGGAAUUCCUGGUGUAGCGGUGAAAUGCGCAGAUAUCAGGAGGAACACCGGUGGCGAAGGCGGGUCUCUGGGCCGAUACUGACGCUGAGGAGCGAAAGCGUGGGGAGCGAACAGG
rnacentral:rRNA from 1 species